rnacentral:rRNA from 1 species
GACGAACGCUGGCGGCGUGCUUAACACAUGCAAGUCGAACGGAAAGGCCCUGCUUUUGUGGGGUGCUCGAGUCGCGAACGGGUGAGUAACACGUGAGUAACCUGCCCUUGACUUUGGGAUAACUUCAGGAAACUGGGGCUAAUACCGGAUAGGAGCUCCUGCUGCAUGGUGGGGGUUGGAAAGUUUCGGCGGUUGGGGAUGGACUCGCGGCUUAUCAGCUUGUUGGUGGGGUAGUGGCCUACCAAGGCUUUGACGGGUAGCCGGCCUGAGAGGGUGACCGGCCACAUUGGGACUGCGAGACGGCCCAGACUCCUACGUGCGGCAGCAGUGGGGAAUCUUGCACAAUGGGCGGAAGCCUGAUGCAGCAACGCCGCGUGCGGGAUGACGGCCUUCGGGUUGUAAACCGCUUUCGCCUGUGACGAAGCGUGAGUGACGGUAAUGGGUAAAGAAGCACCGGCUAACUACGUG